UACGUAGGUGGCAAGCGGUGUCCGGAUUUACUGGGCGUAAAGAGCGCGCAGGCGGCUGGGCAAGUCCGAUGUGAAAGCUUCCGGCUUAACUGGAAAAUUGCAUCGGAAACUGCUCGGCUUGAAGGUGGGAGAGGGUAGCGGAAUUCCCGGUGUAGUGGUGAAAUGCGUAGAUAUCUGGAGGAACACCGGUGGCGAAGGCGACAUCCUGGACCGGUAUUGACGCUGAGGCGCGAAAGCCAGGGGAGCAAACGGG
rnacentral:rRNA from 1 species